UACGUAGGGGGCUAGCGUUGUCCGGAAUCAUUGGGCGUAAAGCGCGUGUAGGCGGUCCGGUAAGUCCGCUGUGAAAGUCGGGGGCUCGACCCUCGGAUGCCGGUGGAUACUGUCGGGCUUGAGUACGGAAGAGGCGAGUGGAAUUCCUGGUGUAGCGGUGAAAUGCGCAGAUAUCAGGAGGAACACCAAUUGCGAAGGCAGCUCGCUGGGACGUUACUGACGCUGAGACGCGAAAGCGUGGGGAGCAAACAGG
rnacentral:rRNA from 1 species